rnacentral:tRNA from 1 species
GGAGAGGUGCCCGAGUGGCUGAAGGGGCACGCCUGGAAAGCGUGUGUACCUCUAGGGGUACCGUGGGUUCGAAUCCCACCCUCUCCG